UACGGAGGGGGCUAGCGUUGUUCGGAAUUACUGGGCGUAAAGCGCGCGUAGGCGGCUUUGUAAGUUAGAGGUGAAAGCCCGGAGCUCAACUCCGGAACUGCCUUUAAGACUGCAUCGCUAGAAUUGUGGAGAGGUGAGUGGAAUUCCGAGUGUAGAGGUGAAAUUCGUAGAUAUUAGGAAGAACACCAGUGGCGAAGGCGGCUCACUGGUCCGGUACUGACGCUGAGGUGCGAAAGCGUGGGGAGCAAACAGG
rnacentral:rRNA from 1 species